UACAGAGGUCUCAAGCGUUGUUCGGAUUCAUUGGGCGUAAAGGGUGCGCAGGUGGCAUUGUAAGUUUGAUGUGAAAUCUCCGGGCUUAACCCGGAAAAGGCAUUGAAUACUGCGGUGCUGGAGGUUUGGAGGGGGGACUGGAAUUCUCGGUGUAGCAGUGAAAUGCGUAGAUAUCGAGAGGAACACCAGUGGCGAAGGCGAGUCCCUGGACAACACCUGACACUGAGGCACGAAAGCUAGGGGAGCAAACAGG
rnacentral:rRNA from 1 species